rnacentral:rRNA from 1 species
CUAGUAGUAUAGGAUAGCCACUAGAAGUGGUGGGUAAUACUGUAUAAUCCCUGCGGGGGAAAGAUUUAUCGCUACAUGAUGAGCCUAUGUUAGAUUAGCUAGUUGGUGGGGUAAUGGCCUACCAAGGCAGUGAUCUAUAGCUGGUCUGAGAGGAUGAUCAGCCACACUGGAACUGAGACACGGUCCAGACUCCUACGGGAGGCAGCAGUGGGGAAUAUUGGACAAUGGGCGCAAGCCUGAUCCAGCUAUGCCGCGUGAGUGAGGAAGGCCUUAGGGUUGUAAAACUCUUUCAGUAGGGAAGAUAAUGACGGUACCUAUA